rnacentral:rRNA from 1 species
UACAGAGGUCUCAAGCGUUGUUCGGAUUCAUUGGGCGUAAAGGGUGCGUAGGUGGCGCUGUAAGUCGGGUGUGAAAUUUCGGAGCUUAACUCCGAAACUGCAUUCGAUACUGCGGUGCUUGAGGACUGGAGAGGAGACUGGAAUUCAUGGUGUAGCAGUGAAAUGCGUAGAGAUCAUGAGGAAGACCAGUGGCGAAGGCGGGUCUCUGGACAGUUCCUGACACUGAGGCACGAAGGCCAGGGGAGGCAAA